rnacentral:rRNA from 1 species
CAGUCGCCGCGGGAAUACGUAGGGUGCAAGCGUUAAUCGGAAUUACUGGGCGUAAAGCGUGCGCAGGCGGUUAUAUAAGACAGAUGUGAAAUCCCCGGGCUCAACCUGGGAACUGCAUUUGUGACUGUAUAGCUAGAGUACGGCAGAGGGGGAUGGAAUUCCGCGUGUAGCAGUGAAAUGCGUAGAUACGCGGAGGAACACCGAUGGCGAAGGCAAUCCCCUGGGCCUGUACUGACGCUCAUGCACGAAAGCGUGGGGAGCAAACAGGAUUAGAUACCCCCGUAGUCCCUGUCUCUUAUAC